AGAGUUGGGAUACCCGAAGCCUGUGAGCUAACUUUAUAAGGAGCAGCAGUCGAAGGUAGAAUCAAUGAUUGGGUGAAGUCGUAACAAGGUAUC
rnacentral:rRNA from 1 species